UACGGAGGGGGCUAGCGUUGUUCGGAAUUACUGGGCGUAAAGCGCACGUAGGCGGCUUUGUAAGUUAGAGGUGAAAGCCCGGGGCUCAACUCCGGAAUUGCCUUUAAGACUGCAUCGCUAGAAUUGUGGAGAGGUGAGUGGAAUUCCGAGUGUAGAGGUGAAAUUCGUAGAUAUUCGGAGGAACACCAGUGGCGAAGGCGGCUCACUGGUCCAUUACUGA
rnacentral:rRNA from 1 species